GAUGAACGCUAGCGGAAGGCUUAAUACAUGCAAGUCGAGCGGUAGGUGGCUUCGGCCAUUGAGAGCGGCGCACGGGUGAGUAACGCGUACAUGACCUGCCUGUCAGAAGGGGAUAGCCCUGGGAAACUGGGAUUAAUACCCUAUGGUAUUGAUAUUAUGAAUGAUAUCAAUUAAAGUUGAGGCGCUGACAGAUGGAUGUGCGUCUGAUUAGCUAGUUGGUAGGGUAACGGCCUACCAAGGCGACGAUCAGUAGGGGGCGUGAGAGCGUGGUCCCC
rnacentral:rRNA from 1 species